AUUGAACGCUGGCGGCAUGCCUUACACAUGCAAGUCGAACGGUAACGGGCCUUCGGGCGCCGACGAGUGGCGAACGGGUGAGUAAUGCAUCGGAACGUACCUUUCAGUGGGGGAUAACGUAGCGAAAGUUACGCUAAUACCGCAUAUUCUGUGAGCAGGAAAGCAGGGGAUCGCAAGACCUUGCGCUGAUUGAGCGGCCGAUGUCAGAUUAGCUAGUUGGUGAGGUAAAGGCUCACCAAGGCGACGAUCUGUAGCGGGUCUGAGAGGAUGAUCCGCCACACUGGAACUGAGACACGGUCCAGACUCCUACGGGAGGCAGCAGUGGGGAAUUUUGGACAAUGGGCGAAAGCCUGAUCCAGCAACGCCGCGUGAGGGAUGACGGCCUUCGGGUUGUAAACCGUCUUUCAGUAGGACGAAGCGAAAGUGACGGUACCUACAGAAGAAGGACGGCCAACUACGUAGCCAGCAGCCGCGGUAAAGUACUCUAU
rnacentral:rRNA from 1 species